rnacentral:rRNA from 1 species
UGGGGAAUCUUGCGCAAUGGGGGAAACCCUGACGCAGCAACGCCGCGUGGGUGAUGAAGGCCUUCGGGUCGUAAAGCCCUGUCAGGUGGGAAGAAACAUGCUGAUGUUAAUACCAUCAGCACUUGACGGUACCACCGGAGGAAGCACCGGCUAACUCCGUGCCAGCAGCCGCGGUAAUACGGAGGGUGCAAGCGUUGUUCGGAAUUAUUGGGCGUAAAGCGCGUGUAGGCGGUCAUGUAAGUCAGAUGUGAAAGCCUUCCGCUUAACGGGAGAAGUGCAUUUGAGACUGCAUGACUGGAGUAUGGGAGAGGAGAGUGGAAUUCCCGGUGUAGAGGUGAAAUUCGUAGAUAUCGGGAGGAACACCAGUGGCGAAGGCGGCUCUCUGGCCUGAUACUGACGCUGAGACGCGAAAGCGUGGGGAGCAAACAGG